rnacentral:rRNA from 1 species
ACAGCAGCAGCCGCGGUAAUACGGAGGGUGCAAGCGUUAAUCGGAAUUACUGGGCGUAAAGCGCACGCAGGCGGUCUGUCAAGUCAGAUGUGAAAUCCCCGGGCUUAACCUGGGAACUGCAUUUGAAACUGGCAGGCUAGAGUCUUGUAGAGGGGGGUAGAAUUCCAGGUGUAGCGGUGAAAUGCGUAGAGAUCUGGAGGAAUACCGGUGGCGAAGGCGGCCCCCUGGACAAAGACUGACGCUCAGGUGCGAAAGCGUGGGGAGCAAACAGGAUUAGAUACCCGGGUAGUCCCUGUCUCUUAUAC